rnacentral:rRNA from 1 species
AUGUCUAUCAUCACUCCUACUACAUUACAUACAGUCAAUGAGCUCAUUGAUGAAGAAAAUUGGACAUGGAAGACGGAUCUUGUUCGACAAAACUUUCUUGCUCCGGAUGCAGAAGCUAUAUUAAACAUACCAUUGCGCAUCGGAGGUGGACAGGAUUUCUUUGCUUGGGCUUUUGAAAACUCAGGUGUCUACACACACAAAUCGGCGUACCGUGCUCUCGUGAAUCAGAAAGAGCGUCAUGCUCUAGAGGAAGGGACGGUUACCGGCGCCUCAGAAUCAGAACAACAGAUGUGGACAUCUCUAUGGAAGCUCAAAGUGGUGCCUAAGGUCAGAGUCUUC